rnacentral:rRNA from 1 species
GCCUGAUGCAGCGACGCCGCGUGAGGGAUGACGGCCUUCGGGUUGUAGACCUCUUUCAGUAGGGAAGAAGCGAAAGUGACGGUACCUGCAGAAGAAGCGCCGGCUAACUACGUGCCAGCAGCCGCGGUAAUACGUAGGGCGCAAGCGUUAUCCGGAAUUAUUGGGCGUAAAGAGCUCGUAGGCGGUUUGUCGCGUCUGCCGUGAAAGUCCGGGGCUCAACUCCGGAUCUGCGGUGGGUACGGGCAGACUAGAGUGAUGUAGGGGAGACUGGAAUUCCUGGUGUAGCGGUGAAAUGCGCAGAUAUCAGGAGGAACACCGAUGGCGAAGGCAGGUCUCUGGGCAUUAACUGACGCCGAGGAGCGAAAGCAUGGGGAGCGAACAGGAUUAGAUACCCUGGUAGUCCAUGCCGUAAACGUUGGGCACUAGGUGUGGGGGACAUUCCACGUUUUCCGCGCCGUAGCUAACGCAUUAAGUGCCCCGCCUGGGGAGUACGUCCGCAAG